rnacentral:rRNA from 1 species
CUACGGGCGGCACCAGUGAGGAAUAUUGCACAAUGGGGGGAACCCUGAUGCAGCAACGCCGCGUGGAGGAUGACGCAUUUCGGUGUGUAAACUCCUUUUAUAUGUCAAGAAAAUGACGGUAGCAUAUGAAUAAGCACCGGCUAACUCCGUGCCAGCAGCCGCGGUAAUACGGAGGGUGCAAGCGUUACUCGGAAUCACUGGGCGUAAAGGACGCGUAGGCGGGUUGGAAAGUCAGGUGUGAAAUCCUACAGCUUAACUGUAGAACUGCACUUGAAACUUCUAAUCUAGAGUAUGGGAGGGGGAGAUGGAAUUAGUGGUGUAGGGGUAAUAUCCGUAGAUAUCACUAGGAAUACCUAAAGCGAAGGCGAUCUCCUGGAACAUUACUGACGCUAAGGCGUGAAAGCGUGGGGAGCAAACAGGAUUAGUUACCCUCGUAGUC